rnacentral:rRNA from 1 species
UGGGGAAUAUUGGACAAUGGGCGAAAGCCUGAUCCAGCAACGCCGCGUGAGGGAUGACGGCCUUCGGGUUGUAAACCUCUUUCAGCAGGGACGAAGCGCAAGUGACGGUACCUGCAGAAGAAGCACCGGCCAACUACGUGCCAGCAGCCGCGGUAAUACGUAGGGUGCGAGCGUUGCUCGGAAUUACUGGGCGUAAAGGGCGCGUAGGCGGGUCGUUUAGUUAGAGGUGAAAGCCCAGGGCUCAACCCUGGAAUUGCCUUUAAUACUGGCGGGCCUUGAGUAUGGCAGAGGUGUGUGGAACUCCGAGUGUAGAGGUGAAAUUCGUAGAUAUUCGGAAGAACACCAGUGGCGAAGGCGACACACUGGGCCAUUACUGACGCUGAGGCGCGAAAAGCGUGGGGAGCAAACAGGAUUAGAUACCC